rnacentral:rRNA from 1 species
GACGAACGCUGGCGGCGUGCUUAACACAUGCAAGUCGAACGGAGUGGCGAACGGGUGGGUAUUACGUGAGUAACCUGCUCUCAACUGUGGGAUAAGCCUGGGAAACUGGGUCUAAUACUGCAUAGUUGGGGAUGGGCUCGCGGCCUAUCCGCUUGUUGGUGGGGUGAUGGCCUACCAAGGCGGUGACGGGUAGCCGGCCGGAGGGGGUGGUCGGCCACAUGGGGACUUAGAUACGGCCCAGGGUCCGACGGGAGGGAGCAGGGGGGCAUUGUGCGCAAGGGGCGUAAACCCGAGGCGGGGACGCCGCGUGGGGUAUGGAGGCUUACGGGUUGGAAACCUCGGUCGGUACAGAACGGGUAUGUGCAGAAGAAGCGACGGCUAACUACGUGCCAGCAGCCGCGGUAAUUC